rnacentral:misc_RNA from 1 species
CGCGGCGGCGGCUCCAUGCAAAUUGCAUCGAUCUGUCGGCCGACAUGCCUCCUCAGUUAUUUGUYCCCGUGCUUUGUGCCUGUGGACUGAUCGAUUCGGCUCCUGUGCUGGCUACCCAUUGCGUGGUAUUCCCUCGACCGUUUAGUCUCAUCUCCCUACGGCGACUCCUCGUGUGUCGUCGGGGGAGCUCGGAGAGGCCCUGGCGUUCCCGGUCCGUUGCUGUCGACGUCGCAGCUUGACUUUGGCGCGUUAGGUGCCUCUGUGCCUUCGGAUUCAGUGCCCCGUAAUGGCCCUCUGUGCUCGUUCACUUUGUGCCAUAUUUGACCAUUUUCGUUGAAAUGACGCUCGUUGUUCGCUCCUUCGUGGCAGUGCCUCCCGGUGCUGACUUGUUGGUCGGACCACGACGUCUUCGAGGGAUGUUACCUGGUUGAUCCUGCCAGUAUCAUAUGCUUG